UUUUCCUUGAUUCCCAGAGUUUCCCUUGUUCUAAAUGUACUGCAUGAGCUUCUGAAUGUACUUGGAGAUUUACCAGUACCUCUCCUUGCCAGUUGUAGCUCCUCACCCCAGCCUGUCAUCUGUCUGCCCCACCCUCCUCAACCUCUGGACUAUAAGAACUCUGAGCCUUGACUUAGUUGUCUCUGUAUUCUUAGCUUGCGGCAGUGUCUGACACAUAGUAGAUGCUGAAUAAAUGUCUGCUGGGAGAAUGCAUGAAUGAAUGAAUGCAUGGAGGAAGAGGAAGGAGAGGAAGAGAGAGAAGAAGAUAGUGGGAAGGAAGAGAGGAAGAGGAAAUAAAAAACAGGAAAAGGAGAUGGAAGAAGAAGGAGAGUGCAGUAUAGGGUCGGAAAGAAAAAAGGCAUCCCUUGAUUUGAUCUUAUCCCCUUUGUCUUCCUGGGGACUGGAAGGCCCUUCUCAGUUCCUUUCUUUUCCCUCUCCUCCCAACAGGAUAAGGACUUUGGCCACAGCCCUGCCUAUCCCCCAGGUAUCCCCAUAAAGUCUUUAACCCUUAGAUAUAGAACUGCUCUGUCCCUUUUCUACAAAACAAAUGUGUUAUUUGGGCAGAAGAGGAAAGGAGAAAAUUUGAAGUGGAAAAAUCUUUGGUUUGGAAAUUCAGCUGACUGCCCUCAUUUGGAAUAAAAUGUCCUUCAGUCCCUGGCUGUGUGGCAGGCAGGCCCGGCCAACAGCAACACCGGAUGCCGGGAGACUGGGAGGAGGCCUGGGGAUUUUCAGAGGAGCCGCCAGAGUGGUAUGAACUUGGAAUCCAGGAAGAGAGUGAUGGGGCUCAUCUCCAAGGGCUGAAUCCCUAUCCUCUUCCUCAUCUCUGUCCAGACAGUGGUCAGUUGUCCCGAUGUGUCAGGCAGAGUGCUGUCCUGGGGGCACAGACAGGACCAGGAGAAGCAAGUCCUGAGGGAGAACAGGGGCUGGGUCUGUCUCAUGUCCUGAGCACCAACCUCAGCAUCUGACACAUGGAAGGUACCCAAGAAACAUCAGCUGGGAAAAAAAAAGUAACCCUUGUCCCGAGGGGUUGACAGGAGACCCAGACUUUGCACUCAGGAGAGAGGGAGGUUGGAAGCGCCACUGAGAGGAGUCAGAGGAAAGUGUAAGGAGACUUGUAAAAAAAGGAGGUGGUCAUGAGGAUGAAAGUCAUAUGUGAAGGAUGAUGGAACAGAGGGACUAAAGGAGCCUGCCCUGGACACCCUGAUUUCCUGCUAUGGGGAGUGAAAAAGAAGCCAUAGUCCCAUGGAUUCUGUUACCAGCCACUGAGUGCAAUCCUACCUGAUCCCAUGGUCCUCACCAAGGCUGUGUCUGCUUAGGAAAUGGAGAAUGGUCCCCAAACCACAGCAGCAAAAAUGAGUGGAAGGGUUGAGCAUUAUUUCCAGCCUUGGUUGCUCUGGUGAUUGGUGCCUGGGAGGGGCAGGACCUCCAUCCAACAGACUGUACCAGCAGAGUCGUAAGAGGUAGGACUUUGGAGAUUCAGCCGUAUGUUCUAUGGGUGGACUGAAGGCUGAAGGAGGAAGAGGUAGAAGUGCAUUGCUACCGACCUACUCCAUCCCACGUGCAGACUCCCUCGACCCCCAACCCCAGGCUGUCACCUGCUCCUAUAUUCAUUUUCUCUGAGGUUGGAGGAAAGAGAAAGGAGACAGCAAUGGCCAGACUUCCCUGGGGUUCCCAAACUGGUUAGUGUGCUCUGCUCAAGUGCUGGCUCCCCGCCCCUCUCUAUGCACACACUCAGCCCAUGUUCACUGAUUCCCAUCCUACCCUCCAGU